AACGAACGCUGGCGGCAUGCCUAACACAUGCAAGUCGAACGAGACCUUCGGGUCUAGUGGCGCACGGGUGCGUAACGCGUGGGAACCUGCCUUUAGGUUCGGAAUAACUCAGAGAAAUUUGAGCUAAUACCGGAUGAUGUCUUCGGACCAAAGAUUUAUCGCCUUUAGAUGGGCCCGCGUAAGAUUAGCUAGUUGGUGGGGUAAAGGCCUACCAAGGCGACGAUCUUUAGCUGGUCUGAGAGGAUGAUCAGCCACACUGGGACUGAGACACGGCCCAGACUCCUACGGGAGGCAGCAGUGGGGAAUAUUGGACAAUGGGCGAAAGCCUGAUCCAGCAAUGCCGCGUGAGUGAUGAA
rnacentral:rRNA from 1 species